UACGUAGGUGGCAAGCGUUGUCCGGAAUUAUUGGGCGUAAAGCGCGCGCAGGCGGUCUCUUAAGUCUGAUGUGAAAUCCCGUGGCUUAACCACGGGCGGUCAUUGGAAACUGGGGGACUUGAGUGCAGAAGAGAAGAGCGGAAUUCCACGUGUAGCGGUGAAAUGCGUAGAGAUGUGGAGGAACACCAGUGGCGAAGGCGGCUCUUUGGGCUGUAACUGACGCUGAGGCGCGAAAGCGUGGGGAGCGAACAGG
rnacentral:rRNA from 1 species